rnacentral:rRNA from 1 species
GACGAACGCUGGCGGCGUGCCUAACACAUGCAAGUCGAGCGAUGAAAUUCCCUUCGGGGAAUGGAUUAGCGGCGGACGGGUGAGUAACACGUGGGCAACCUGCCUCAAAGUGGGGAAUAGCCCUCCGAAAGGAGGAGUAAUACCGCAUAACAUGAGAGAAUGGCAUGAUUUUUUCAUUAAAGAUUUAUCGCUUUGAGAUGGGCCCGCGGCGCAUUAGCUAGUUGGUAAGGUAAUGGCUUACCAAGGCGACGACGCGUAGCCGACCUGAGAGGGUGAUCGGCCACAUUGGAACUGAGAUACGGUCCAGACUCCUACGGGAGGCAGCAGUGGGGAAUAUUGCGCAAUGGGGGAAACCCUGACGCAGCAACGCCGCGUGGGUGAUGAAGGUCUUCGGAUUGUAAAACCCUGUCUUUGGGGACGAUAAUGACGGUACCCAAGGAGGAAGCCACGGCUAACUACGUGCCAGCCGCCGCCGUAAUAC